rnacentral:rRNA from 1 species
UACGUAGGGGACAAGCGUUAUCCGGAAUUACUGGGCGUAGAGCGCACGCAGGCGGCGCGGUAAGUCUGAUGUGAAAUCUCCCGGCUUAACUGGGAGGGGUCAUUGGAAACUGCCGAGCUUGAGGCGAUGAGAGGGGUGUAGAAUUCCCGGUGUAGUGGUGGAAUGCGUAGAUAUCGGGAGGAAUACCAGUGGCGAAAGCGGCACCCUGGCAUUAGCCUGACGCUCAUGUGCGAAGGCGUGGGGAGCGAACGGG